AGAAGCCGGCGGUAAUACAGUCAGGAUAGUAUCCACACAUGGAAACCAUCUACCCUUCCCACUGAAAACUUCAGGAUAUGAAUAUGCUGGAUAUGCCUUUUUUGAAGUCAUUUGCAUCUGUCAAGUGCCACCUAGCAGUAAGAAAAA
rnacentral:lncRNA from 1 species